rnacentral:pre_miRNA from 1 species
UAAAAUUACGUUGAAAAAUCGUCUCCCUCAAAAAAUGAAACCUGAGACUAACAGGAGAUUUUUUUGACUGUAAUUUUAUA